rnacentral:misc_RNA from 1 species
CCGAUAUAUUGCAAAAGACGAGUUCGCUUUAGGACUAGGGUACUACAAUGGGGAUUACUCAUCAAUAGGAGGAAAAAAUCUUGGAGCGAUAUCUAAUGGUGUAUUUGGUACAGAUCAGCUUGGAGGAGGAAUAAAAGACAAAGGGCUAUUUAAUGGCAAUAUCGUAUUGCAGGUUGCACAGGUUCAUAGCCUUGGAAGCAGACUGACCAAACCAGAAAACAUAGGAUUAAGAGCCAAUGCAUAUCAAUAUGAUCAGUUGAACAGAUUGGUAGAAGCAAGAAGCUAUGGAGAGUAUAAGGCAUCAUCAUGGACAGCGAGAAACCCUA